rnacentral:rRNA from 1 species
UACGUAAGGGGCUAGCGUUGUCUGGAAUCAUUGGGCGUAAAGCGCGCGUAGGCGGCCAGAUAAGUCCGGUGUGAAAGUCACAGGCUCAACCUGUGAAUGCCGCUGGAAACUGCCUUGCUUGAGUCCGGAAGGGGCGAGUGGAAUUCCUGGUGUAGCGGUGAAAUGCGCAGAUAUCAGGAGGAACACCAAUGGCGAAGGCAGCUCGCUGGAACGGUACUGACGCUGAGGCGCGAAAGCGUGGGGAGCGAACAGG